UAACCCUCAAGCCUAGCUUGGUGUUGGAGCCUGCCUCUGGGCAGCUCUUAAAAUCAGUGGCGGUGCCGUCUGGCUCUAAGCGUAGUAAUUUUUCUCGCUACAGAGUCCCGGUGGAUGCUUGCCAUCAACCCCUAAUUUUCUAU
rnacentral:misc_RNA from 1 species